rnacentral:rRNA from 1 species
GAUGAACGCUGGCGGCGUGCCUAAUACAUGCAAGUCGAGCGAACGGACGAGAAGCUUGCUUCUCUGAUGUUAGCGGCGGACGGGUGAGUAACACGUGGAUAACCUACCUAUAAGACUGGGAUAACUUCGGGAAACCGGAGCUAAUACCGGAUGAUAUUUUGAACCGCAUGGUUCAAAAGUGAAAGACGGUCUUGCUGUCACUUAUAGAUGGAUCCGCGCUGCAUUAGCUAGUUGGUAAGGUAACGGCUUACCAAGGCAACGAUGCAUAGCCGACCUGAGAGGGGGAUCGGCCACACUGGAACUGAGACACGGCCCAGACUCCUACGGGAGGCAGCAGUAGGGAAUUUUCCGCAAUGGGGGAAAGCCUGACGCAGCAACGCCGCGUGAGUGAUGAAGGUCUUCGGAUCGUAAAACUCUGUUAUUAGGGAAGAACAUAUGUGUACGUAACUGUGCACAUCUUGACGGUACCUAAUCAGAAAGCCCCGGCUAACUACGUG